rnacentral:rRNA from 1 species
GAAGGGUGCAAGCGUUACUCGGAAUUACUGGGCGUAAAGCGUGCGUAGGUGGUUUGUUAAGUCUGUUGUGAACGCCCCGGGCUCAACCUGGGAAUGGCAAUGGAUACUGGCAAGCUAGAGUGCGGUAGAGGGUAGUGGAAUUCCCGGUGUAGCGGUGAAAUGCGUAGAGAUCGGGAGGAACACCAGUGGCGAAGGCGGCUACCUGGACCAGCACUGACACUGAGGCACGAAAGCGUGGGGAGCAAACAGGAUUAGAUACCCUGGUAGUCCACGCCCUAAACGAUGCGAACUGGACGUUGGGAGCAACUUGGCUCUCAGUGUCGAAGCUAACGCGUUAAGUUCGCCGCCUGGGGAGUACGGUCGCAAGACUG